rnacentral:misc_RNA from 1 species
AACUUUCGACAACGGAUCACUUGGCUCUCGCAUCGAUGAAGAACGCAGCGAAAUGUGCUAAGUAAAGUGAAUUGCAGAAUUUAGUGAAUCAUCGAAUCUUUGAACGCACCUUGCACCCUUUGGCAUCCCGAAGAGUAAGCUCGUUUGAGUGUCAUUGUACUUUUACACUUCUCAUCCUUUGGAUUUGGAGCGGUGGACUUGGGUGUUGCCGCUUUACGGUGGCUCACCUCUAAUGCAUUCGUGCAACUCUUGGUUGGACAUAGUACGGCGUGAUAAGUGUCUUCGCCGGCACCUCGCAAGAGGGUGGCUGAUUGAGAGCUCUGUGCUUUCAAACCGUCCUUGGACAAUGACUGACAACUUGACCUCAAAUCGAGUAGGACUACCCGCUGAACUUAAGCAUAUCAAUAAGCGGAGGCU